rnacentral:lncRNA from 1 species
GCUUACCCUACAGUUUUGGUCUGUUUUUACUCUAUGGUUCAAUUCUUAAAAAUUUUCCUUUAUUUGCAAAAUGAUAAAAAAAAUGUUGCUUUUGUCUCUAUUGACAAUUUUGAAUCAUCAUGAUCAUGCUUUCUAGAAUUGUCUGAUGAUCUCUUAAAAGAGUUUCAACAUUGCUCAAUUAUCAAUCCUUUAGUUUCACAUAGCUUCUACCUGUC